GCCGGAGUAGCUCAGUUGGCAGAGCGCCCGGCUGUUAUGCCGGGUGCAGAAACCGGGUGGUCGGAGGUUCGAGUCCUCCCUCCGGCG
rnacentral:tRNA from 14 species